rnacentral:lncRNA from 1 species
GCUGUUGAGAUUACAGGCGUGGGCCACCAUGCGUGGCUAGGUUAAAGUGUUAAAGGAAACUUCUAGAAGCAGACAGGAAGCAGGAAGCACUGUCCCAGGUGGUCCGGGUAUAGAAGAUAAUGUCCCUCACACCUUCUCCAGGGCCGUCCCAAGCAUGCUCAGCACACCCUCAGCCCAGGGCCCUGGACCUGCUGCCCUCGGCCGGGGGCCUCUUCUCCCAGGUGCCUUCUGGGCUUGCUCUCUCACUUCCUGUGGGCUCUGUUCAACUGUCACCUCCUCAGGACUGUCCCUGAGGCAGCACUCACCUUGGGCACUCUGCAUCUUUCUCCUUGUCUUGUGUUGCCACCCAAUGUCAUUAAUGCCCCGCUGCUUAGUGUCUGCGGCCCCCAUCGGAACGUGAGCCGAGGGCCACCAGUGUCUGUUAGCAUUUGUGGGGCCAGUGAACGUGGGCCUCCUGACCCACAGGUGAAGUACAGGGGUCUGACCUGGAUGGCAGAAGCAUUAGAGGGAGCAGAUGAGGGUCCAACUGUCACCGCUAAAUGCUCAGGACACUGCUCCCCGAUGACGUUUCUG